GACGAACCGUGCAAACGUUAUUCGGAAUUAUUGGGCUUAAAGAGCGCGUAGGCGGCGACGUAAGUUGGAGGUGAAAUCCCAUCGGCUCAACCGUGGAACUGCCUCCAAAACUGCGUUGCUUGAGGGAGCUAGGGGCCUGUGGAACUUCCGGUGGAGCGGUGAAAUGUGUUGAGAUCGGAAGGAACGCCAGUGGCGAAAGCGGCAGGCUGGAUCUCAUCUGACGCUGAGGCGCGAAAGCUAGGGUAGCGAACGGG
rnacentral:misc_RNA from 1 species